rnacentral:rRNA from 1 species
GCUUGCGGCCACACUGGCCUGAGCACGCCUGAUCUCGUCUGAUCUCGGAAGCUAAGCAGGGUCGGGCCUGGUUAGUACUUGGAUGGGAGACCGCCUGGGAAUACCAGGUGCUGUAAGCU